GUAGGUGGCAAGCGUUGUCCGGAAUUAUUGGGCGUAAAGCGCGCGCAGGCGGUCCUUUAAGUCUGAUGUGAAAGCCCACGGCUCAACCGUGGAGGGUCAUUGGAAACUGGGGGACUUGAGUACAGAAGAGGAAAGCGGAAUUCCAAGUGUAGCGGUGAAAUGCGUAGAGAUUUGGAGGAACACCAGUGGCGAAGGCGGCUUUCUGGUCUGUAACUGACGCUGAGGCGCGAAAGCGUGGGGAGCAAACAGGGAUUAGAUACCCUGGUAGUCCACGCCGUAAACGAUGAGUGCUAAGUGUUAGGGGGUUCCCGCCCCUUAGUGCUGCAGCUAACGCAUUAAGCACUCCGCCUGGGGAGUACGCCGCAAGGCUG
rnacentral:rRNA from 1 species